UCCACUGCUUCAGUUUCCAUGACACUAAGGCAGUUCAGUAACUUAAAGUUGAUGGAAUGGCUAUGAAAAUUCAUAUAUCAUCUUUUCUCUGAGAUUUUAUCAUGUUUGAAAUGAGAUUCUGCUCCAUAAGAAAGAUGAUUCCAUUUGAAACCUUUAACUCAGGUUUCAAUCUCUCAUUCCCUACCGAGAGAUGGGGAGAAUACAUUGAUACUGCAUUUCAAAUUGGCUAGAUCAGAAGGAACAGCAGCUAAAAUCCAUUACAACCCAAUUACAUCCAUCAGCUGAAGCUGUGUGCAUUCAUUCGUGAACAUCAGCAUUUAAUCCAUAAAGAGGAACUAAUGAGAAAUUUGAAAAUGGAAUCCACGCAUCAGUAAGUUUGGAGAGAUUUUUCUGGGAUUAAUGAUCUGCCAGAGAAUCUUCAACAUGCUGGAAAGCUAUUCUCUCUGGGUUUGUUUACUGACCAAGGGGAGAAAAAGAGGUUUCCUUCUGCCUACUCAUCAAAUACCAGAAAGAUUUUACUCGUCUUAGUCCUGGAAAAUGGGAUGCCGUGUGCUUUGGACGUAAGAAUACAGCUCCUGAGAUGCGGUGCCUCGGAGUGAGCUCCUACCAUCAUACUUGCAAGAGACAGGCUGUAGCUCUGAAUCAGCUGACCUGAACUUACACCCUGAUUCCUGCCUUUCUUACAAGUGGAAAAAGAAAUCAAGUGACGGCAGAAGCACAGUUCCCUCCUCCCACCUCUCCAUUUGGAUUAAGAAGACCGGACUUGUAACAGAGCACCCACCCUCCCCAAAUCCUUCUUGUGAAACUCCUGACAUUUCCAACAUCCUUUACUCAUUUGAUGUUCAUGAGUUUCCCUAUUGAUUCUCUGAAUACUUACGUUUGCUUUAUAUACUCUGCCUAUACACUUCGGUAUCAAUCAUCAUUUACAUUGUG